rnacentral:rRNA from 1 species
CCCUUAGAUGUUCUGGGCCGCACGCGCGCUACACUGAUGCAUUCAACGAGUCUAAAACCUGCUCUGAUAGGGGUGGGUAAUCUUUUGAAUGUGCAUCGUGAUUGGGAUAGAUGAUUGCAAUUUUUCAUCUUCAACGAGGAAUGCCUAGUAAACGCAAGUCAUCAGCUUGCAUUGAUUACGUCCCUGCCCUUUGUACACACCGCCCGUCGCUCCUACCGAUUGAAUGAUCCGAUGAAUAUCAUGGAUUGAUGAUGCAAGUAGGUUAGCCUAUCUUCAUCUUCGAGAAGUGAAGUAAAUCUUAUCAUUUAGAGGAAGGAGAAGUCGUAACA